rnacentral:rRNA from 1 species
UACGGAGGGUGCAGGCGUUAAUCGGAAUUACUGGGCGUAAAGCGUGCGCUGGCGGUUUGUUUAGUCUGUUGUGAAAUCCCCGAGCUCAACUUGGGAAUUGCAAUGGAUACUGGCAGGCUGGAGUAUGGUAGAGGAAGGUGGAAUUCCCGGUGUAGCAGUGAAAUGCGUAGAGAUCGGGAGGAACACCAGUGGCGAAGGCGGCGAUCUGGGAAGAUACUGACGCUGAGGUGCGAAAGCGUGGGGAGCAAACAGG